UCUAUUAUAGUCAAAUAAAUGACGCAAGAUUUAAGCUCUUGAGGUAUAAAUAUUUUUAGAA
rnacentral:tRNA from 1 species